GUUUUAUCUGUCUCACCAAGCCAUCGUAAGUAAUUGCUGACCCAGCUCCAUCUUUGUAUAGUUGGUACAGUUCUUCCUUUUUCCUAGCCCUGGCUCUUUCAGUAUCAUCUUUUGGAUUAAUAUCUUCUAAAUUGGGUUCCCCUCCUUCCCAUGGCAGGCCAGUAUAUUGGCGACAUCUUCCAAGUGAAUAUGCAGAAUUCUACCAUUGAAGACGAAUCCAUGCCACUCUGUGUCAUUUAGAAGAAGAUUGAUCCUGAUAGAAGGCACGCCAGCAAACAUACCAAGUUGAAGAUCAUGUUGUUUAUAAAUCUCGAAAUAAAACCAAGGUGUUGAUUGCGGCGAUGGCUCCACAUGCGUCGAUGAUUUCGUCACUGCAGGGGUAGAUUGCGGCUGUGUCUUGUUUGCUGCUUCAGGGGAGAUUGGAUUUUUUGGUGGAGGGUAGUAGUUCGGCUCUGGCGGAUUAAUCAUCUUGAAUAUCGGCAGAUGACGAGGAGGCUGUUUUGUUGCGGCGGCUAGAGUUGACGAGGAGGCUGUUUUGUUGAAGAUCGGCAAAUA